AGAGUUUGAUCCUGGCUCAGGACGAACGCUGGCGGCGUGCCUAAUACAUGCAAGUAGGACGCACAGCCUAUACCGUAGCUUGCUACACCAUAGGCUGUGAGUUGCGAACGGGUGAGUAACGCGUAGGUAACCUGCCUAUUAGAGGGGGAUAACUAUUGGAAACGAUAGCUAAUACCGCAUAACAGUAUGUAACACAUGUUAGAUGCUUGAAAGAUGCAAUUGCAUCGCUAGUAGAUGGACCUGCGUUGUAUUAGCUAGUAGGUAGGGUAAUGGCCUACCUAGGCAACGAUACAUAGCCGACCUGAGAGGGUGAUCGGCCACACUGGGACUGAGACACGGCCCAGACUCCUACGGGAGGCAGCAGUAGGGAAUCUUCGGCAAUGGGGGGAACCCUGACCGAGCAACGCCGCGUGAGUGAAGAAGGUUUUCGGAUCGUAAAGCUCUGUUGUUAAGGAAGAACGAGUGUGAGAAUGGAAAGUUCAUACUGUGACGGUACUUAACCAGAAAGGCG
rnacentral:rRNA from 1 species